CCACAGAAUCACAACAUGGCAUGAGUCUGGGACACCAUGGGGCUUCGGUACGCAGCAGCCCUCCUUUAUCUCCUUUUCUGAUGGAAACAGCAUUAAGGAAACCAAGCACAGGCUGCGAGCCAUUCAAAGACUCCCGACUCUCACGCCCUUCUCACCAUGCCUAUAUCAGUGAUCUCCUCUCAGGGUCAGAUAAAGAUCAGAGCUGGCAGUAACUCUAGAUUCUGUUGCUUAGUAGGACGUAAGUAAGGUCAGCUCCGAGGCACCUGAAGACAGCUCCGAAAUCCUUUCAUAAAAUAAAAGGCUCAGGUUCGCCAUCCUCACUCUGCGGCUCCCUGUGGCCAGUUAGAUGCCUCUGCUCCGUGUCCAGCCCAUUCCUCCCAGUGGACACGUGACAGCCCUGGAAGAGCUGGGAUGGGGGGGAAUGCAAAUGAGUGAAUAGGCCAUCAUCCCUCAGGGUCAGGGGACAGGAGAGGGCCGGGGGUGCUGAGGACAUGCACCAGGGAGACACACAAGGGGCAAUGACCUCAUGUCAGGGUCCGGAGGGUCCCCAGAAGCAGCAGAACUAACCUCGUUCCGUCUCCACCUAGGGACGGGAGCGUGCCCAGGUAUGAGGAGCGUGGGUAUGACAGGAAAGGCAAUGAGAAAGAAUACAUCCACCCCAGAGCCAGUGCAAGUGUGGAAGGCUUGGGGACUCGAAAUGGGACGCCUGGAUCUCAGUUUACACUCUCACGAGACAACUCCCUUCCCCUCCACAUCUCCACAGCAUGGCUGCACUGCAGGCAGCACUCCUCUCAAGGAGGAGUCUACAAAAUCCGAAAAGCAUGUUUUAUUUUGGUAAAAUAUACAUAACAUAAACUUUAUCAUCUUAACCAUUUUGAAGUGUUCAGCUCAGUCCUGUGAAGUACACUGACAUUGCUGUGCAGCCAUCACCACCAUCCAUCUCCACACUCCAUCUUCACACACUGAAGCUUUGUACCCAUAAACACCAAC
rnacentral:lncRNA from 1 species